rnacentral:tRNA from 1 species
GCAGUUGUGGCCGAGUAAUUAAGGCGAUGAACUAGAAAUCCAUUGGGGUCUCUCCGCACAGGUUCGACUGCG